rnacentral:lncRNA from 1 species
CAUUUAUACACUGUGAAUUUUGUCGAUAAAUGAAGAGGACGAGUUCCCCUUCUUUUAAAGAGUUUUUGAUUGAGCCAGUGUAACGUUAUAAAAGAGGGACGACAGAUACCAAAGGAAGAGUCAAACUCAUAGAUAGAUAAUAAACUGACAACGCCAUAGCUAAAAAUAAAAAGACAAAUACACAAAUAAUAGUACAGAAGACACA